AUUUAGGAUAAAUUAUUAAAUUAUAUGCAUAUGUUUACAUAUUUUCGUUAAAUUCUUACUUUUUCAUGAAAAUAUAAAAAUCUCCACUUUUUUCCUAUCAGAUACUUUAUUGUGAAAGAACUCAAAUCCACGUUUAUCAUCCUCAAAAUAUUGCCUCUAAUUUUUACUCAUUACCAAAUCAGUUAUCCAAUUCAAAAGCGAUUUGAUUUUCAGACAAUUAUAUCUCUCCCUCUUUUCACUCACACAAUCAAAUUAGUUACCAUAUUAAUCAAAAUUUUGAUAGAUUUUUCUCUCCAAUAAACUAAUUUCAUAUCCGUAGAUAUUUUCAUCUUCUUCAAUUUUCUUCAUCGCUUUUUUCUUGUUUCAUCAUUUUGUCUAAUACAUAUGAACUCCUUCAUGUUGGAUUGGAAUUAUCCAAAUAGUUACACCUAAUACGAAUCAAAUCUUUGAAUCUGAUAAUCUCCAAUAGACAAAAAAAACAGAUUUAAAAUGUUACAUAAUCCUUUAACAAUGGCAAAUUAAAGUUCAGAGAAGGCAAAAGCGAAAAAGGAUGUACCUGCAACAUCGAAAGCAAAAGUUGAAAACAACGAAAAAAAUAAUCAAAAAGGUUGCCCUGCCAUAUCUCAUCAACCUACACUAUCCAGGAUGGACAAAUUUUCUUUGACUUUUGAAGACUUGCCUACAGAAAACAGCGAAUUACUUUCGGAUAUGGACCGAACUGUCUCACGACAUUCUGAACCCAGCUCACGUACCGGUAUUGAUUUAAUAGGCAGACAUUUCUAUCUAACACUUUCCAGUAUAAAUCUUAUGGUAGACACCAAACAUGUCCCAAACUUCUCGCUCCCACCGGCCGGCUGAUGGAAAUAGACUGACUACCGGAGAUAUUCGUGUUACUUCGUCUGCACUCGAAUCGAAGGCCGAAUAGAAAGCAUUCCCCCCAGCUGACUAUCUUCGUACAAGGUAUGCAAUAAUGUUAUGAAAGUAUGGUCUCAACUAGGGGUGGGCAUUCGGUAUUUCGGUUCGAUUUCGAGUUCUUUUUCGGUUUUUUCUAUUUCUGAUUCUUGUAAAUUGUGUACCGAAUACCGAACCGAAAUAUUUCGAUUCGAUUUUUAUUAUUUCAGUUUGAUUUUUUUAUUUUGAUUUUUUAA